AAAGAGACUGCAGAGAGCAUCAUCACCCCGGUACCUAUGAAGUUACAGUGACAUGAUGACCAUCAGCGAGGAAGUGGGCUCUCACCAGACAUGGAAUCUGCGGAUAUCAUAGUCUUGGAGUUCCAGCCUGCAGAAUGCUGUUUGUCAUAGCAAAGUUUGGAAGCCAAUGAAAGUUCCAUCAAAGAAUGAGCUGGUUAAGUGACGGCACACUAACAGAAUCAAAUGCUAUGAUGCAGCCAUGAAAAAGAACGGAACGAUUUCCAAGAGAUGCCACAAGAAGGAAAAACAAAACAAAACAAAACCUGGUGCAAACACCAAGUGGAAUAUUCUCUGUUAUAUGUACCCAGGUGCUUGUACAUGCAGAGAAUAUCUCUAGAAGGGCAACCAAGAAAUUCUAAUACUGGUGCCUCCAAGGCAAGGGAACUCAGUGGCUCAGGACCAAGAAAAGAAGAAAAAACAAAAGGCCAGAGGCCCUGUUAUGUCUGUUAUGGGUUGAAUUGUGUCUCUCAGAAAAAUACACUGAAGUCCUAAGCCUCAGUACCUGUGAAUGUGACUUUCUCUGGAAAUAGGGUCUUU